rnacentral:rRNA from 1 species
UACCUGGUUGAUCCUGCCAGUAGUCAUAUGCUUGUCUCAAAGAUUAAGCCAUGCAUGUCUAAGUACGAACUUUUACACGGUGAAACCGCGAAUGGCUCAUUAAAUCAGUUAUGGUUUAUUAGAUGGUGCUAUCCUACUUGGAUAACUGUGGUAAUUCUAGAGCUAAUACAUGCGACAAAGCUCCGACCCUCGUUGGAAAGAGCGCUUUUAUUAGAUCAAGACCAACCGGUUUCGUUCCCUCGGGUUCGUGCCGUCGGAUUGAUGACUCUGGAUAACCUUCGCCGAUCGUAUGGCCCUGCCGCCGACGAACGCAUCUUUCAAAUGUCUGCCCUAUCAACUUUCGUUGGUAGGUGAUUUGCCUACCAAGGUGUUUACGGGUAACGGGGGAUCAGGGUUCGAUUCCGGAGAGGGAGCAUGAGAAACGGCUACCACAUCCAAGGAAGGCAGCAGGCGCGCAAAUUACCCACUCUUAGCACGAGGAGGUAGUGACGAAAAAUAACAAUACGGGACUCUUUCGAGGCCCCGUAAUUGGAAUGAGUACACUCUAAACCCGUUAACGAGGAUCUAUUGGAGGGCAAGUCUGGUGCCAGCAGCCGCGUAAUUCCAGCUCCAAUAGCGUAUAUUAAAGCUGUUGCAGUUAAAAAGCUCGUAGUCGGAGUCGGGCGGCGGCAGUGGUUCGGUUCCGUGCCGAUACUGUUGGUCGCCGGCCUCCACGCCGGUCGUCUUUCGGUGCUCUUAACUGAGUGCCUUAAGUAGCCGGGCAGGUUUACUUUGAAAAAAUUAGAGUGUUCAAGGCAGGCUUCACACGCCUGAAUGAUGGUGCAUGGAAUAAUGGAAUAGGACCUCGGUUCUAUUUUGUUGGUCUUCGGAACUGGAGGUAAUGAUUAAUAGGGACGGACGGGGGCAUUCGUAUUGCGGGGUUAGAGGUGAAAUUCUUGGAUCGUCGCAAGACGGACUACUGCGAAAGCAUUUGCCAAGAAUGUUUUCAUUGAUCAAGAGCGAAAGUCAGAGGAUCGAAGACGAUCAGAUACCGUCCUAGUUCUGACCAUAAACGAUGCCGACUAGCGAUCCGGCUCCGUUGCUUUAUAAGACUGGCCGGGCAGCUCCCGGAAACCAAAGUUUAUGGGUUCCGGGGGAAGUAUGGUUGCAAAGCUGAAACUUAAAGGAAUUGACGGAAGGGCACCACCAGGAGUGAAGCCUGCGNUUAAUUUGACUCAACACGGGAAAACUCACCCGGCCCGGACACCGUAAGGAUUGACAGAUUGAAAGCUCUUUCUUGAUUCGGUGGGUGGUGGUGCAUGGCCGUUCUUAGUUGGUGGAGCGAUUUGUCUGGUUAAUUCCGAUAACGAACGAGACUCUAGCCGGCUAACUAGUCCGUCGAUGCCUAACUGUCGUCGGCGCAUAUCGACUUCUUAGAGGGACCAGUGGCGUUUAGCCACGCGAGAUUGAGCAAUAACAGGUCUGUGAUGCCCUUAGAUGUUCGGGGCGCACGCGCGCUACACUGAAGAAAUCAACGUGUCUUCUCAACCUGCCUCGAAAGGGGUGGGUAAUCCGUUGAACCUUCUUCGUGCUAGGGAUUGGGGCUUGCAAUUCUUCCCCAUGAACGAGGAAUUCCCAGUAAGGCGAGUCAUAAGCUCGCGUUGAUUACGUCCCUGCCCUUUGUACACACGCCCGUCGCUACUACCGAUUGAAUGGUUUAGUGAGGUCCUCGGACUGGUGGCGUUCGCAUUCCCUCGUGGUCUGUGAGCGUCUUCGCCGGGAAGACGAUCGAACUUGAUCAUUUAGAGGAAGUAAAAGUCGUAACAAGGUUUCCGUAGGUGAACCUGCGGAAGGA